rnacentral:misc_RNA from 1 species
CCGAGUUGCAAAACUCCCUAAACCCAUCGUUUAUUUAUCUUGAAAAGCGUCUGCUUCGGCGGGCGGCCCCAGGGCGGGGCCGCGGCCGUGCCUGUGGUACGGCGCCCGCCGAAGAAGACGAAGCCCAAACUCUUGUAUUUCAGUACCAUUCUGAGCCUAAAGACAAAUAAUCA